rfam:Glycine soja cultivar W05 scaffold1513_8, whole genome shotgun sequence.
CAUUGAAGUGAUGAUACCCUUUUUCUGAAUUUAAUAGAUGUGGACAUUGUUAAUCAUACUACAAUUAUCUAAUCAAUG